rnacentral:rRNA from 1 species
UGGGGAAUAUUGCACAAUGGGCGAAAGCCUGAUGCAGCGACGCCGCGUGAGGGAUGACGGCCUUCGGGUUGUAAACCUCUUUCAGCAGGGAAGAAGCGAAAGUGACGGUACCUGCAGAAGAAGCGCCGGCUAACUACGUGCCAGCAGCCGCGGUAAUACGUAGGGCGCAAGCGUUGUCCGGAAUUAUUGGGCGUAAAGAGCUCGUAGGCGGUUAGUCGCGUCUGCUGUGAAAACUCGAGGCUCAACCUCGGGCUUGCAGUGGGUACGGGCUGACUAGAGUGCGGUAGGGGUGACUGGAAUUCCUGGUGUAGCGGUGGAAUGCGCAGAUAUCAGGAGGAACACCGAUGGCGAAGGCAGGUCACUGGGCCGCAACUGACGCUGAGGAGCGAAAGCAUGGGGAGCGAACAGGAUUAGAUAGCCCUGGUAGUCCAUGCCGUAAACGUUGGGCACUAGGUG